CAGUUCUGAACAAUUAAAAUACUUCGGUAAUUAUAGAUCUGUAUCUAGAGUUUCCUAGCUGCAGUGUCCUCCAGCACUUGCUAAAAUAGCAGCAUGGAUACACGGUCAAAAUGCAGAGAUCUUCACAAGCAGUUUCUGACAGGGAUGAUUUAGGGUCGUCAUUCUUCUCACUGGGAUGGCCAAAUCAAUUAAAAUUUCCACUGGAAGUGUAUCAUCUACUUUAUCUUUCUAACAAAGCAGAAUGUAAUCUACAGUGGUGUAGGAAGAAACUCAACUCUUGCUCACUUGAAUAAUUCUGCUAAACUCACAGCAGAAAAACUUGCAGUUGUCAGGAGCUGGACUCACAUGCCCAGGCCAGGGUAUUUAAGGGAUGAUGUAUAACUGCAGUACAAAAGGAAUUUUCUUCUUGUUUUUGUCUAUAAUCAGCUAACCUCGCUGAAGACAUCUUUUAAUGUAAAAGCUGGGAAGGUUUAUCCUGAACAGAGACAAUAUGAGCAGAAGUUUCUCCUGCCGUCACCUGACAGUAAAACAUUCCUCUUCUGUGGCCCUUCCCACAAACUGCAGCUGGGUGUAGGGGAAACCCGACGAGGGUGGCUUUGAUGCAGACUGAUAGACAUUGCUUGCACUGAAAUUCUGCAGACUUUUUGUAUGCACAGACUUCGUGCAUGACGGCAAGAUUCAUAGAGAAAAACUGAAAGAAGAAGAUGAUUUUUUGUAAGAUCUGGACUGUAUGAAUUAAUAAAUUCUAGUUGUCCUGGCUCUUAGGAAUUCCAUUCUGUCUAAAUUUCAGUUUUGUUUUCUACUUUCCCUCCCCAGUAGAGUUGAACCUGGGAAUAGCAUCGCUCAAUGGCUCGUUAGUUUGAUAAAGUGGUAAAAGUGACUAUAGCUACAAUGGGUACUUCUGGCUCAGAAGCAUUUAUAGAUCUCAAGGGAAUUGUGAAAAACACCAGAAAGUCUUUAGUUUUUUCAGAAGAUAACAACCAAUCUGCAUUCAGAAAAAAAGAAUGGAAACAGAAAUGUAAAGAGCUGAGAUGCGCAGGAAGGGUGAGUACUGCCAAGAAGCAGCUUGCAAAUAAAAACUGUUUGCAGAUAAUAGAUUUAAUAAUAAUAAUAUUAAAGUUUUGAUUUUAGAAUAGUUUAGAGAUACUCCAAUUCAGCAAAAAUCUCAAGUCUACAAAACUCUCAGCAAAUAAAAAGGUGGGGGGGGGCA
rnacentral:lncRNA from 1 species